ensembl:misc_RNA Metazoa_SRP Metazoan signal recognition particle RNA
GCUGGGCACGGUGGCGCAUGCCUGUAGUCCCAGCUACUCGGGAGGUUAAGGUAGGAGGAUCGCUUGAGCCCAGGAGUUCUGGGAUGUAGUGCGCUAUGACCAUUGGGUGUCCGCACUGAGUUCGGCAUCAAUAUGGUGACCCCCCGGGAGUGGGGGACCACCAGGUUGCCUAAGGAGGGGUGAACCAGCCCAGGUCAGAAACGGAGCAGGUCAAAACUCCCGUGCUGAUCAGUAGUGGGAUCGUGCCUGUGAACAGCCACUGUACUCCAGCCUGGGCAACAUAGUGAGAUCCUGUCUCUA